rnacentral:tRNA from 1 species
GCCUUCGAAGCGUAAUGGUAAGCACACUCGGCGCGUAUUCGAGAGGUCCGAGGUUAGAGUCCCGGCGAGGGCA